AAAAAAUUAAAUAUUUAAUUUUUUUAGCAUUUGUUUCUCAUUUUGUGAAUACAUGAUAAAAUGAAGGUUUAAAUCGAAAAUUAUGAGGUAAUUAGAUUAGAAAGUUCAAAAUAGAGCUUAAGUGAACAUCAUGAAAAAACACGGGGGCCAAAUUGAAUUUUCGUAAUAGAAUACAGGGAGGUAGAGGAGGAGAGCUGCAAAGCCCGCUUCCACAGCUGCGCCCUAUUCCCACGCUAACUCUAGUGUUUUUGCACUCGAGAGAGAGAGAGAGAGAGAAGUCUGGCAGGGAAGAUAGCUCUAACAGAAAGAGAAAGGACGUGCUUCAACAUCGACCAACGGCGACAAUUUUGGUGUCUUCUCCAUUUUUUUUCCCUGUACGGUAUGAUUCCACACAUACCAUUUCUUUUUCGUUCAUCAAAGGACAACAAAACCCAUCUUUUCCCUUCAAUUUUCUCUCAUUUCUCUUUUCUGGGUCCUUUACCCAUUUUCUUUCUCAGGGGUAUUCUCCUCUCGGUGGGUUGGAUUUGGUUAUGACCUGGCUUUGUUUGUGUUUUCUUUCAUUGAGUUGAUUUUUGUCGUUGUAACUUAUAAGCAAUGUGAAGAUGGAAAAUGCGGUAGAAAUUUUGAAACAAUUUCUGGGUCAUAUCAUGAACUUGAAUCUCUCUAUAGAGAUAUUUAAUUUUCUCUGUGAGGAAUUUUAGCCAAUGCAAAUAACAGUAAUGAUUACUAGCUCUACCCAUGUGUAUUUUAUUCACCUUUCUGUUUCUAUUUAUAUCUGGUCCGGAGAUUGAUGCUCGUAGUUUCUCCUACUUGUUUUUCUCUUAGCCUCCUUGGGAUGUGUGUUUGGCAUUCCAUAUUGAUUUGACGUUUGUUAGGAGAUAUUGCUGAUUUUUUUUCUUGAUUACCAAUGGCUGAUAAGCAUGUCUCAUCUCUUGGGGUUGUUUCUAGGAAAUAUUUGCUUUGCUUGUUCUCAUUUAUUUUGGCCUUGUUCCUGUUAUCUUGGUUCCUUGUGCUACGUUCCACAGGCCGCCCUAACUCUAUUGAUCAUAGUUUGUUAACCAAGCCAUUUCAUUCUAUAAUCGACAAUGGUAGUUCCCCUUCCUGGGAUCAGUAUAAUGUUGAACUCCCAUUGGGUAAUAGAGAAGGAGACGGAGAAGAUGAAGAAACACCCCAAGAGAAAGUUGCUGUGAAAGAGGUCAAAUGCAAUACCCAUAACGAGAAUAGCAAAGAACCCCUUAAGGUUUACAUGUAUGAUUUGCCACCAGAGUUUCAUUUUGGGCUCUUAGGCUGGACUCCACAAGGGGAUAGUGUUUGGCCUGAUCUUAGAACUAAAAUACCUGCAUAUCCAGGUGGGCUGAACUUGCAACAUAGUAUAGAAUAUUGGCUUACAUUGGAUCUUCUUGCUUCAGAAACUCCUGGUUUUCCCAGAGCUUGUGGUGCUAUAAGAGUCCGAAAUUCUAGUGAAGCUGAUGUCAUAUUUGUACCAUUCUUUUCUUCAUUAAGUUAUAAUCGAUAUUCGAAGGUAAAUCCACAUCAAAAGAAGAGCAAGAACAAAUUGUUGCAAGAGAAGCUGGUAAAGUUUGUGACAUCACAAAGGGAAUGGAAGAGGUCGAGGGGACGAGACCAUGUCAUCUUGGCUCACCAUCCAAAUAGCAUGUUAGAUGCAAGGAUGAAGCUAUGGCCAGCAAUGUUUAUACUUGCAGACUUUGGAAGGUAUCCCCCCAGCAUAGCAAAUGUUGAAAAAGAUCUAAUCGCACCUUACAAACAUGUAAUCAGAAGCUAUGUCGAUGACUUGUCUAACUUUGAUAGCCGCCCAAUAUUGUUAUACUUUCAAGGAGCCAUAUACAGGAAAGAUGUACGUGCUCUUCCUCUUUAAUACAUGUGCUGUUAAUUGUUUCUUUUAAUUUGCUAGCAUGGAAAAUGAAAUGUUGUAUUUAGAAUAUCUUUUACAUUUUCAGAUUUUACAAAUUAUAAAACUAGCUCCUGUGCGCCAAAACUUGUAUUACCUGUCUUGUUUUUGCUUGAUGUCGUGUUUCACUUGUAUUUGUUGUCUUCUACAGAACUGUGAUAAAAAGAGGGCUUAAUUUACUAUAAUUCAUGUUUGAACACACUAGAGAGAGUGCACAAUUAAUGUCACGUAAGUGAGAUAUAAAACAUUGAUCCAACUCCUAUAUUGCAUCCAAAAUUACGUGCAAAAGAAGAUUGGUUCUCCGAAAGCUUUGGGAUUUUGGAUAAAUUAUGAGAUGAUCAGGACUAUGUCAAUUUUUAUUUAGUGGUUUGGGAAGAGGUUAUAAUAAAGUGUUAUAUUGGGCAUGCUUGUGGAGUAGGAGUUCUGACUUCGAUUAUUUUUUGAAUGGUUGAGCUAUUCUUUAUUUUUCUAAGUGAUUAGUAAAUUUAAUUUAAAAAAAAUCUUUCACUAUUAAAAAUAGAAAAAAUGAUAUUUUAUUCAAUAGGAAUGAAGAAAUUCAUUUUUAUUACAUUUGGCUAAAAAUUAAAAGUUUGUGUGUUGAUUUGGCUCAAAAGGUCAACUUGGGUCACAUUGGAGAUGGACAACAAGUUCAAUGGCUUUAUGCCAAAUUUAUCUGGCCCUUGAGCAAAACUUGACUGAUGAUUAACCUUUUAUGGAAAAGCAUUGCUGAAACCCACAUGGACUGUUCUGCUGUGUUUUUGUGCAAUUACUAGCAAUGCUGGAUCUGUUGUGUUAGUGUUAAAUAUUCUGUAGGGCAUCUUUUGAGGAUGAAGAGUAGCUACUAGCUACAGCUCAUGGGAAUCAGCUUAAUGAAAAUUUCCCCAAGAUAAUUUUCAAUUGAUCUUUUUAUCUUUGUGUGGUCAUGUAAUCAACUUUAUUAUUUUGGACUGUCAGUUUGCACCCACUGGAUUCUGGAUGCCAUCCUUUCAAAGUGAUUGAAAACUUUUAAUUAAACUUCAUUCCUUUAAUAUUCUUUGCCUCUUAGUAAGGUUGCACUUUGUUUAUACCUGAUUCAUUACUUUUGGGUUUGUCAUUAUUAGGGUGGCCUUGCUCGGCAAGAAUUAUUUUACCUUCUAAAAGAUGAAAAAGAUGUGCAUUUUCAAUUUGGGAGUGUUCAAAAGAAUGGAAUCAACAAAGCUUCCAAGGGAAUGCACUCCUCGAAAUUUUGCCUCAAUAUUGCAGGUGACACUCCCUCAUCAAACCGUCUUUUUGAUGCCAUUGCUAGCCAUUGUGUUCCAGUCAUCAUCAGUGAUGACAUUGAGCUCCCUUAUGAGGACGUUCUUGACUACUCUCAAUUCUGCAUAUUUGUUCGUACAUCAGAUGCCAUCAAAGAAAAGUUCCUCGUGAAUAUGAUAAGGGGCAUUGGGAAGGAUGAAUGGACUCGAAUGUGGCAGAAAUUAAAAGAGGUGGAACAUUUCUUUGAGUUCCAAUACCCAUCAAAGGAAGGUGAUGCUGUUCAAAUGAUAUGGCAGGCUGUGGCCAGGAAGGUCCCUGACAUGAGAAUGAAAAUACACAGGUCCAUGAGAUACUCACGGUCUCUUAUCCGCAACAAUAGAGAAUUGAGAACAAUACCAACUCCCAGCAAUUUUUGGUGAGAGGGGGAAAUUAACAUGUCUUGGCAAUGAACUCAUAGCUUUUCAUGAGACAUUAAUUCUAGGUUUUGCUGCUUAGAAAGGUGAGAAUUUCAAUGCAUUCUCUUAGAUGAGAAUUGCAAUCUGUACUCACUGCUGAUUUUGGAUAAUCUUAUAAAACGAGAAAUAAAAUUUUUUAAGGAGAGCUCGAGGCGUUUAGCUUCUAUUUCUGGCAAAUCAUAUUCAAU
rnacentral:misc_RNA from 1 species